rnacentral:lncRNA from 1 species
UGUUCAUAAGAGGCAGUUACAAGUAAUGCCAAAGGUCAAGAUCAAAAGGCCAUUCUGGGCCCCUGAAGCAGGGUCACCAGGAGGAGAAGGGCAGCUGUGAAGGGCACAGCAACACAGGACCCAAGGCAAGGGAGGUUCGGGGGCCAGGGCGAGCGUGUUAUGAUGGAAAGGACCCAACAUCUUAAAGGACACAGGACAGUCACACACCUGUAACACACACGGACUCAGAAAGUACUAAAUAAAGCAAAAACUGCUAGAAACAGACAUUUCCACACUUGAUGUAAGAUUUUA